rnacentral:rRNA from 1 species
CGGAACACGUACGCAACCUUCCUUUAACUGGAGAAUAGCCCCUCGAAAGAGGGAUUAAUACUCCGUAAUAUAAUGAAGUGGCAUCACUUUAUUAUUAUAGGCAGCAAUGUCGGUUUUGGAUGGGCGUGCGCCUGAUUAGGUAGUUGGCGGGGUAACGGCCCACCAAGCCUGCGAUCAGUAACUGGUGUGAGAGCACGACCAGUCACACGGGCACUGAGACACGGGCCCG